AGAACACUCAACCACUAAAAGGACGACAGUAACAGUUGCAAUCACUAAAUCUCAGAGCAGAGCUUCCACAGGUAAAGGCCCUGCAAUCAUUGCUGGAGUUGUUGUUUCUGUCAUUAUCCUGAUAAUUGCUGUGGUGAUCAUCAGAUUGAGAGCAAAGGGAAAGAAAACACAGACUGAUGAAAAUGCUGUUGAUCUUAAAGAGAACGCUUACUACUCCACCAUCAAACAUCCACAGAAAACCAAUGUCAAUGUUAAGG